UACAGAGGUCUCAAGCGUUGUUCGGAUUCAUUGGGCGUAAAGGGUGCGUAGGUGGCGCGGUAAGUCGGGUGGUGAAAUCUCGGAGCUUAACUCCGAAAAUUGCAUUCCGAUACUGCCGUGCUCGAGGACUGGAGAGGAGACUGGAAUUCAUGGUGUAGCAGUGAAAUGCGUAGAGAUCAUGAGGAAGACCAGUGGCGAAGGCGGGUCUCUGGACAGUUCCUGACACUGAGGCACGAAGGCCAGGGGAGCAAACGGG
rnacentral:rRNA from 1 species